CUCAUGAUGAACGCUAGCUACAGGCUUAACACAUGCAAGUCGAGGGGCAGCAUGGUCUUAGCUUGCUAAGGCCGAUGGCGACCGGCGCACGGGUGAGUAACACGUAUCCAACCUGCCGUCUACUCUUGGACAGCCUUCUGAAAGGAAGAUUAAUACAAGAUGGCAUCAUGAGUCCGCAUGUUCACAUGAUUAAAGGUAUUCCGGUAGACGAUGGGGAUGCGUUCCAUUAGAUAGUAGGCGGGGUAACGGCCCACCUAGUCUUCGAUGGAUAGGGGUUCUGAGAGGAAGGUCCCCCACAUUGGAACUGAGACACGGUCCAAACUCCUACGGGAGGCAGCAGUGAGGAAUAUUGGUCAAUGGGCGCAGGCCUGAACCAGCCAAGUAGCGUGAAGGAUGACUGCCCUAUGGGUUGUAAACUUCUUUUAUAAAGGAAUAAAGUCGGGUAUGGAUACCCGUUUGCAUGUACUUUAUGAAUAAGGAUCGGCUAACUCCGUGCCAGCAGCCGCGGUAAUACGGAGGAUCCGAGCGUUAUCCGGAUUUAUUGGGUUUAAAGGGAGCGUAGAUGGAUGUUUAAGUCAGUUGUGAAAGUUUGCGGCUCAACCGUAAAAUUGCAGUUGAUACUGGAUAUCUUGAGUGCAGUUGAGGCAGGCGGAAUUCGUGGUGUAGCGGUGAAAUGCUUAGAUAUCACGAAGAACUCCGAUUGCGAAGGCAACCUGCUAAGCUGCAACUGACAUUGAGGCUCGAAAGUGUGGGUAUCAAACAGGAUUAGAUACCCUGGUAGUCCACACGGUAAACGAUGAAUACUCGCUGUUUGCGAUAUACUGCAAGCGGCCAAGCGAAAGCGUUAAGUAUUCCACCUGGGGAGUACGCCGGCAACGGUGAAACUCAAAGGAAUUGACGGGGGCCCGCACAAGCGGAGGAACAUGUGGUUUAAUUCGAUGAUACGCGAGGAACCUUACCCGGGCUUAAAUUGCAGAUGAAUUACGGUGAAAGCCGUAAGCCGCAAGGCAUCUGUGAAGGUGCUGCAUGGUUGUCGUCAGCUCGUGCCGUGAGGUGUCGGCUUAAGUGCCAUAACGAGCGCAACCCUUGUUGUCAGUUACUAACAGGUUCCGCUGAGGACUCUGACAAGACUGCCAUCGUAAGAUGUGAGGAAGGUGGGGAUGACGUCAAAUCAGCACGGCCCUUACGUCCGGGGCUACACACGUGUUACAAUGGGGGGUACAGAGGGCCGCUACCACGCGAGUGGAUGCCAAUCCCAAAAACCUCUCUCAGUUCGGACUGGAGUCUGCAACCCGACUCCACGAAGCUGGAUUCGCUAGUAAUCGCGCAUCAGCCACGGCGCGGUGAAUACGUUCCCGGGCCUUGUACACACCGCCCGUCAAGCCAUGGGAGCCGGGGGUACCUGAAGUGCGUAACCGCGAGGAGCGCCCUAGGGUAAAACUGGU
rnacentral:rRNA from 1 species